UACGUAGGGUGCAAGCGUUGUCCGGAAUUGUUGGGCGUAAAGAGCUCGUAGGCGGUCUGUCGCGUCGGCUGUGAAAACCUGGGGCUUAACUUCGGGCCUGCAGCCGAUACGGGCAGACUAGAGUUCGGCAGGGGAGACUGGAAUUCCUGGUGUAGCGGUGAAAUGCGCAGAUAUCAGGAGGAACACCGGUGGCGAAGGCGGGUCUCUGGGCCGAUACUGACGCUGAGGAGCGAAAGCGUGGGGAGCAAACAGG
rnacentral:rRNA from 1 species